AUCCAGCUGACAAGUCCCAAACAGAACGAAACGUGCGUCCUGGUU
rnacentral:hammerhead_ribozyme from 1 species